UAUAAAUACAGCCCGUAGGGGUUUGGCGAGCGCUUUUGUGUGUGUGUAUACUUUUUUCUACCUUAUUGGGCGUGGACGGUGGUUAGAGGCAUGCUAAUUGGCGAUGGGAAACGAAAUGCGAGGAAAGAUGAAUUUUAUGUAAUAGUUCCCAAAUCUGCGACACCCCUUUUGUUUCCGAGGUGGACUCAACCAAAAUGAAUUCUAAACGAAUGUGAAGGUUUUGUGAAGAAGGCAGUGAUAAACAUCUAUUGGUUAUAAAUAGCGUGAAGUCUUCUAUAAAUCUUCUAUUGGCUAAAGGAAUUGCUCAAGUUGUAAAAAGUGAUCAAAUCUUUGAUCAAAAGUGGAUGAUAAAGGAACACCGUCAAAUGUUGAGAACGCUAUAAUACGCAGAAUGCUUCUUCCCAAAAUCUGAUGCAGAGAUGCGCUCUUAGAAGAAAUUAAAGAAAUGGAAAACAUCAUAUAGAUGGUGGAUUGUAGAAGAAAAUAAUUUAUGUAAAUAAAAUCAUUAUUUGUA
rnacentral:lncRNA from 1 species